AUGCCAGCAGUCUGGCACCGAGGAAGGAAAGAAGAGAGGAGUAUUUUGAGAAAGGGGUCUAGGAAGAACCACAGAGGUCUGGGAGUAAAAGGUGUCCGUUGGUGGCUAGUCCCCAGAAGUCUCACAGAGAAGAGCGGGUCUCUGGUGGGCCUGGUCAGUCAGGCUCGAUUGGAGAUACAAGAACUUGAGGAGGAAGGCACGGUGGCCCACACCUUUAAACCCAGCACUUGGGAGGCAGAGGCAGCAGGAUUCACUUUCGGUUCUAGCCAGUCUGACACCAGAGCCCUGUGAGAAGAAGGUCUGGGUAGGCGGAGGCCCCGGGAACUACUAGUGGGAAGCAGACGAGGAGGAAAGGAGCUAAAUGUUUGUGUGCCCAUGAGAUGCCAGCCUGAGCUCCGAGAGCGGCAGCCCAAGGUCUCCCUGACUUUCUGGUGGAGCCUUGUGGAUCUGAUUGCUAAUGGAUGUGCCAGGAGCUGCCCGAAAGGUUCAGAGAGAGAUACUUGUUGCCCAGCAUGAAAUAUUAGACAUUGGUGGAGACAUUUCAUGAAGCCAGACAUAAAACGCCAAAGGAAAUCUAGGGAACUUUCAAGCAGAAGCACCAAAGAAUGGUGGUUAAAAAUGUGUAUCUCAGUAACUGUGGAAUGGAACCCCCUUCCCCAGGUCUCAGCUUCUCACCCACAAAAUUCAGACAAGAGUCAUUCCCAAAUUCCCGGGGUUGUUGUAUGGGAGGCCUGAAACACUAUUUAACACUAUUAAAUGUGUUAGUAAUGUUUUUAAAACGCAUAGAGCAGUGCCUGCUACAUAGCUGCGGAUGGUGUGAUGACUUUGUCAACUUGAUGCAACCUAAAAUCACCUGGAAAAGAAUCUCAGUGAUGGUCUGGCUAUAUUGGCUUGGCCUAUGGGCAUACCUAUGGUCAUGGUCUUAAUUAAACUAAUCGAUGUGGGAAGUACCAGUCCACUAUGGGCAGCACAAUUCCCUAGGCAGGAGGUCUUGCAUUGCAUAAGAGUGGAGAAGCUGAGCCGAUCACCAGGAAGCAUGCAUUCAUUUUUCUCUACUUUUGACUGUGGAUGUGAUAUGACUAGCUGUUUUAAGCUCCGGCUAGUCCGGCUUCCCUGCUAUGAUGUAUUAUAACCCCGGCGCCAUGAGCAAAAACAAACCCUUUCUCCCCUAAAUUGCCUUUUGUCAGAUUAUUUAUCCCUCCCAGCAACCAACAUGAAACUAGAAAGGGAUGGGGAGUGUGACCUCUGAAAAGUCACGUGACCAUGUGACUACAUUGCCAGGCAUUGGACACUGGGUUGGUUCUAUGGUGGUCAGGGUCUUCAGUUGGUCCCCACAACAGCAUGAAGAGACAGAGCUCUCUGAUACUUUUUGCCGCCAGAGAGGUUCCCUUGUGAAUUCUAACCAGAGUCAUGCAAGACCCAGAACAAGCAGAGCCGACAAGAAGACCCGCCCUACGGCUGCACUGGAAACAGUAAUCCUUCCAUUGGAAUACCUCUCAGCUCAGGGGCCGUACAUCACUAAAUGCUGCCCCUCCUGGACACCCUGCACCAAGCCAGGGUUC